rnacentral:rRNA from 1 species
AACGAACGCUGGCGGCGUGCCUAACACAUGCAAGUCGAACGGGAUUGAGGGGCUUGCUCCUCAAUUUAGUGGCGCACGGGUGAGUAACGCGUAGAUAAUCUGCCUGACGAUCUGGGAUAACACUUCGAAAGGGGUGCUAAUACCGGAUAAGCCCACGGGGACUUUGGUCUUUGCGGGAAAAGGGGGGGACCUUUUGGCCUUCUGUCGUCAGAUGAGUCUGCGUACCAUUAGCUAGUUGGUAGGGUAAAGGCCUACCAAGGCUACGAUGGUUAGGUGGGCUGAGAGGAUGGUCAGCCACACUGGAACUGAGACACGGUCCAGACUCCUACGGGAGGCAGCAGUGGGGAAUUUUGCGAAAUGGGCGAAAGCCUGACGCAGCAACGCCGCGUGAGUGAUGAAGGCUUUCGGGUCGUAAAGCUCUGUCGAGGGGAAAGAAGUGUAUUAUGGUUAAUACCCAUGAUACUUGACGGUACCCCUAAAGGAAGCACCGGCUAACUCCGUGCCAGCAGCCGCCGUAACAC